UUCCUACGGGGGGCAGCAGUGGGGAAUAUUGCACAAUGGGCGAAAGCCUGAUGCAGCAACGCCGCGUGAAGGAAGACUGCCCUAUGGGUUGUAAACCUCUUUUGUCAGGGAGCAACGCCGGCUACGUGUAGCCGGACUGAGAGUACCUGAAGAAAAAGCAUCGGCUAACUCCGUGCCAGCAGCCGCGGUAAUACGGAGGAUGCGAGCGUUAUCCGGAUUUAUUGGGUUUAAAGGGUGCGUAGGCGGAAUGCCAAGUCGGCGGUAAAAUCGCGGGGCUCAACCUCGCUCCGCCGUUGAAACUGGCG
rnacentral:rRNA from 1 species